UUCGUUCAAUUCAACAGCAGCCAUCUUCUUCUUGUCUUCUUCGUUCAGUUCAACAGCAGCCAUUUUAUCAUCCCCCCUCAAGUUGGUGUCCGUUGAUCGGAUACCCAACUUGCUCAAAAAAUGUUUAUGAAGAGGACCAGCCAAAGCCUUGGUGAAAAUAUCAGCGAUUUGUGAGGAGGAUGGUAUGGAAGAAAGGGAAAUAAGUCCACCAAGUAGCUUUUCACGAACGAAAUGGCAGUCAAGCUCGAUAUGCUUGGUUCGUUCGUGAAAAACGGGAUUUUUUGCUAUGUGUAUGGCGGAUCUGUUAUCACAAUGAAGGGAAACUGGAAGGGAAGGAGAAACUGCAAGAUCUGAAAGAAGGCGAACCAACCAAGAGAUUUCUCCGACGAGUCGUCGCAUAGAUCGAUACUCAGAUUCAGCGGAAGAAAGAGAGACCACCGGUUUUUUCUUGGAUUUCCAAGACACCGGAGAAUUGCCAAGGCUGAUGUAAUACCCACUGACGGAACGGCGAGAAUCGGGACACGAGGCCCAAUCGGCGUCACAAAAACCCAGAACUUGAAGCGAUGGGUCAGUGUUCAUAAAAAAACCCAAACUUGGAUCUUUUCGCAAGUAUCGAAGGGUGUGAAAAGCUGCUUGAAGGUGUCCAGAACAAGGUCGUUGCAUGUAUUGGCUGAGAGAUUGAACGGCGAAGGCAAGGUCAGGACGAGUAUGUGUAAGGAAAUUGAGCUGACCCAGUAGACGCCGAUAUACAGUUGGAUCUGGUAAAGGUUCACCGGAAUCAAUGGAGAUUUUGACAGUGGGAUCCAUAGGAGUAGAAGCAAGGCGGGAAGGAAGAUCUGGGUAUUCCUUAAGCAAGUCCAUGGCAAAUUUUCUUUGUGUCACGAUCAGUCCAUCUGGAAGAGUGAGAAGAAUGUCGUCAACGUAUACCGCAAGGAUAGUGACAGAAUCUGGAGAUGAUUUGUGGAAAAGGGAGUAGUCAUUCAAAGAGGGACUGAAGCCUCGUGUACCCAGUGCUGAUGACAACUUCGAAUACCAUUGGCGUGAAGCCUGUUUGAGCCCAUAAAGGGAUUUGCGCAAUCGGCAAACAUGUGAUGGAGAAGGUGGAGAAAGUCCCGGCAGAAAUCGCAUAUAGACUUCCUCGUCCAAGUCGCCAUGUAAAAAGGCGUUAUUCACAUCGAGCUGGUAGAGAGGCCAAGAUUUCUUUACAGCAAUAGCAAGAAUGCAUCGUAUGGUGGUCAUCUUUACAACAGGGUAAAGGUUUUUUCUCUGGUGGAAGAAUCACUUCUUCCCAAGUAGAGUUGGAAAUCAAAGCACUGAGCUCAUUGGCCAUUGCAAGAGACCAACCAGGAUCAGAAGCUGCCUCUUGGUAAGUGUGGGGUUCUCUGAUUUGUUCAAUGGAAUGCAAAAGUUGUUGAUUUUGUGUGCUUAAGCAAGCAAAAGAAAAAGAAUGUAGAGGAGGAAUAGAAAAAGUAGGAGAAAUAACUGAAAGAGCAGUAUCACAUAUAAAAUCAGAUAAGUGAGAGGGAAAAACAGACCUUCUGGUUGUUCUGCGCAGGCCUGCUUCUGCUGGCAACACAUGCACAUUAGGAAUAGGUGCAGACAUGAUAUUAGAAGAAGAAUUAUAUGGGCUAGGUAAAGACUGUGGUGAUACACUUGGUUGAGGGGAAGUACUGUGAGGUGUGUGAGAGGGAGGAGAAGAUGGAAGAUCAGAGUGUGGUGUAGAUGAAAGACUUGUAGU